CUCGUAGUUGGAUUUUGGGCGCAGGCGGCCGGUCCGUCGCAAGGCGUGUACUGGCCGUCCUGGCCUCACCUCCGGUUCUCCGCCGGUGCCCUUGACUGAGUGUCGGCGGCGGCCGGAACGUUUACUUUGAAAAAAUUAGAGUGUUCAAAGCAGGCGAUUCGCCUGAAUAAUGGUGCAUGGAAUAAUGGAAUAGGACCUCGGUUCUAUUUUGUUGGUUUUCGGAGCGCGAGGUAAUGAUUAAGAGGGACAGACGGGGGCAUUCGUACUGUGCCGUUAGAGGUGAAAUUCUUGGAUCGGCGCAAGACGAACGACUGCGAAAGCAUUUGCCAAGAAUGUUUUCUUUAAUCAAGAGCGAAAGUCAGAGGUUCGAAGACGAUCAGAUACCGUCCUAGUUCUGACUAUAAACGAUGCCAACUAGCGAUCGGGGGGCGUUAGUUUUACGACCUCUCCGGCAGCUUGCGGGAAACCAAAGUCUUUGGGUUCCGGGGGAAGUAUGGUUGCAAAGCUGAAACUUAAAGGAAUUGACGGAAGGGCACCACCAGGAGUGGAGCCUGCGGCUUAAUUUGACUCAACACGGGAAAUCUCACCCGGCCCGGACACAGUGAGGAUUGACAGAUUGAGAGCUCUUUCUUGAUUCUGUGGGUGGUGGUGCAUGGCCGUUCUUAGUUGGUGGAGCGAUUUGUCUGGUUAAUUCCGAUAACGAACGAGACUCUGGCUUGCUAACUAGUUACGCGACCCAAUCGGUCGGCGUCUAACUUCUUAGAGGGACUAGUGGCGUUUAGCCACACGAGAUUGAGCAAUAACAGGUCUGUGAUGCCCUUAGAUGUUCGGGGCCGCACGCGCGCUACACUGACCGGAUCAGCAUGUGCUCGCCUUGGCCGACAGGUCUGGGUAACCCGC
rnacentral:rRNA from 1 species